CUUACCGGGACCGACAGCAAUAUGAAGGCCAGGCUGAAGACUUUGCCGGAUUAGCUGAGAGGUGGUGCAUGGCCGUCGUCAGUUCGUACUGUGAAGCAUCCUGUUAAGUCAGGCAACGAGCGAGACCCACGCCCACAGUUGCCAGCGUACUCUCUGGAGUGACGGGUACACUGUGGGGACCGCCGCUGCUAAAGCGGAGGAAGGAAUGGGCAACGGUAGGUCAGUAUGCCCCGAAUAUCCCGGGCUACACGCGAGCUACAAUGGUUGGUACAAUGGGUAUCUACCCCGAAAGGGGACGGGAAUCUCCUAAAACCAAUCUUAGUUCGGAUUGAGGGCUGCAACUCGCCCUCAUGAAGCUGGAAUCCGUAGUAAUCGUGUCUCAAAAUGGCACGGUGAAUAUGUCCCUGCUCCUU
rnacentral:rRNA from 1 species